rnacentral:rRNA from 1 species
UACGUAGGGUGCGAGCGUUAAUCGGAAUUACCGGGCGUAAAGCGUGCGCAGGCGGUUUUGUAAGCCGGAUGUGAAAUCCCCGGGCUUAACCUGGGAAUGGCAUUCGGGACUGCAAGGCUGGAGUGCGGCAGAGGAGACUGGAAUUCCUGGUGUAGCAGUGAAAUGCGUAGAUAUCAGGAGGAACACCGAUGGCGAAGGCAGGUCUCUGGGCUGACACUGACGCUCAUGCACGAAAGCGUGGGGAGCAAACAGG